rnacentral:lncRNA from 1 species
CGCUCAGAUCAAAAAAGUUAAAAAGCCAAAUAAAUACAAAGUUGAAGAGCAUUGAGGAUCAAAAAUUCCUAAAAGUUGUGCCAAAUAUGGCUAAGGUAAUCUACUCCUGGGGUAAGAAAAUCCUUAGUUUUUCGAAAAAUUCAAAGUUUUGUAAACGGAAAAUUUAUAAAAUGACCAUAUAAUUGAUAUUCAUGUCAACACCGAAGUGCUGACUACUGGGCUGGUGAUACUCUCGGGGACGAAACGUCCACCAGCAGUGG